AUUCAGCUGACGAGUCCCGAAUAGGACGAAACGCGCAUCCUGGAU
rnacentral:hammerhead_ribozyme from 1 species